CCUUACCACUUGUCUUAGCCCAUAUUGUUUUAUUCAUUCAUGUAGCUCGUCAGAAUAGUUCCAAAACACUUAAUGCCACAUUUAUGUUUUCGAGUUUUAUUACAUACCUUUGAUCUAGUAAUCGCAUUAUAUUAAUCACUUGACCAGCCAAUAGAAUUAUCUUCAUUACUUGAUUAGCCAAUCAAAAAAAAAAAAUUAAUAAACAAAAAGGUACUAUCCGAAGUCAAAACCAUGUCUAUAGGAUUCAAAAUUUGCUGGCCCUGGACCAGUCUAAUCUUUAUGUCAUAUCAUUAGC
rnacentral:lncRNA from 1 species